rnacentral:rRNA from 1 species
AGUGAACGCUGGCGGUAGGCCUAACACAUGCAAGUCGAACGGCAGCACAGUAAGAGCUUGCUCUUACGGGUGGCGAGUGGCGGACGGGUGAGGAAUACAUCGGAAUCUACUUUUUCGUGGGGGAUAACGUAGGGAAACUUACGCUAAUACCGCAUACGACCUACGGGUGAAAGCAGGGGAUCUUCGGACCUUGCGCGAUUGAAUGAGCCGAUGUCGGAUUAGCUAGUUGGCGGGGUAAAGGCCCACCAAGGCGACGAUCCGUAGCUGGUCUGAGAGGAUGAUAGGCCGCACUGGAGCUGGGACACGGUCCAGACUCCUACGGGAGGCAGCAGUGGGGAAUAGUAGACAAUGGGCGCAAACCUGAUCCAGCCAUACCGAGUGGGUGAAGAAGGCCUUCGGGUUGUAAAGCCCUUUUGUUGGGAAAGAAAAGCAGCAGGUUAAUACCCCGCUGUUCUGACGGUACCCAAAGAAUAAGCACCGGCUAACUUCGUG